GAUGAACGCUGGCGGCGUGCCUAAUACAUGCAAGUCGAGCGAACAGACGAGGAGCUUGCUCCUCUGACGUUAGCGGCGGACGGGUGAGUAACACGUGGAUAACCUACCUAUAAGACUGGGAUAACUUCGGGAAACCGGAGCUAAUACCGGAUAAUAUAUUGAACCGCAUGGUUCAAUAGUGAAAGACGGUUUUGCUGUCACUUAUAGAUGGAUCCGCGCCGCAUUAGCUAGUUGGUAAGGUAACGGCUUACCAAGGCAACGAUGCGUAGCCGACCUGAGAGGGUGAUCGGCCACACUGGAACUGAGACACGGUCCAGACUCCUACGGGAGGCAGCAGUAGGGAAUCUUCCGCAAUGGGCGAAAGCCUAACGGAGCAACGCCGCGUGAGUGAUGAAGGUCUUCGGAUCGUAAAACUCUGUUAUUAGGGAAGAACAAAUGUGUAAGUAACAAUGCACGUCUUGACGGUACCUAAUCAGAAAGCCACGGCUAACUACGUG
rnacentral:rRNA from 1 species